CUUCCCUUCAGCGCACUCAUCAAUAUCUGAAGAGAAGGGAGAGAGAAGGAGAGAGGGGGAGAACAAAGCUGGGUUAGAUGUGGAUUGCUAUCACAUUUCUAGUGCAACUGAAUCUUCGCAUUGAAAGGUGUCUCCCACAUCCUGGGAACCAUCUUGUGCAGUUGGUUCUCACUACAGAAGGUUCCUAAAGGCUUCUACGCUGCCAGUGGGAAAGGGCUAUUUGUCUUCAUCAGAGGGAGACAGAGGUCGAAAUGCAGAGGGUCCUUGAGGGUAUGUCUGGGGAAGGCAGUUCAACAAGCGAAAUCACUCUACACCCUCUCCACUUUCUUUAAUUCAGAAGAAAAUUGCAAGAACUGAAAAAGGAGUGUGG